rnacentral:rRNA from 1 species
UACGUAGGGUGCGAGCGUUGUCCGGAAUUACUGGGCGUAAAGAGCUCGUAGGUGGUUUGUCGCGUUGUCCGUGAAAACUCACAACUCAAUUGUGGGCGUGCGGGCGAUACGGGCAGACUGGAGUACUGCAGGGGAGACUGGAAUUCCUGGUGUAGCGGUGAAAUGCGCAGAUAUCGGGAGGAACACCAGUGGCGAAGGCGGUUGCCUGGGCCACUACUGACGCUGAGAAGCGAAAGCAUGGGGAGCGAACAGG